UACACACCGCCCGUCGCACCAUGGGAGUUGAUUGCACCAGAAGUAGGUAGCCUAACCGCAAGGGGGGCGCUUACCACGGUGUGGUCAAUGACUGGGGUG
rnacentral:rRNA from 1 species